CCUUGAAGGCAUACGUCGAUUGUGGUGUGGUUCGCAAGAACCACCGCGAUCGAUGGGCCUAUCGCGUGCGAGAUCGACGUCACCUGAUGCAACGCAUCGUGCCUUUCUUCAUGAAGCACCCGCUCAAGACCAAAAAACGGGUGGACUUUCUGAAGUUUCGGCGGGUGCUGCGGCUGAUGGAGGACGGCGAACACCUGACCUGUGAAGGAAUGGAAAAAAUCCGCCACAUCGCCGAUCGCAUGAAUCGCAAGGGACAAUCAAGAUAAAGUCCAGCCUUUUUGGAAACAAAAGGGAAUAACUGAGCGAAGUUCCUUGUCGGGUAAGUUCCGACGCGCAUGAAUGGUAUAACGACUGGAGCACUGUCUCAACAGGGGGCUCGGUGAAAUUGAAAUGCCGGUGCAAAUGCCGGCAACCCGCGGUAGGACGAAAAGACCCCGUGGAGCUUUACUGGAGUUUGGCAUUGGGGCUUGAUGCACUCUGUGUAGGAUAGGUGGGAGCCUGUGAAGCCGGGGCGCCAGUCCCGGUGGAGGCGUCCUUGAAAUACCACCCUCUGUGUAUUGGGUCUCUAACCUAGCGCCGUGAAGAGCGGUGCGGGGACCGUGCUAAGCGGACAGUUUGACUGGGGCGGUCGCCUCCCAAAAAGUAACGGAGGCGCGCAAAGGUUCCCUCAGGCUGGUUAGCGAUCAGCCAUCGAGUGUAAGGGCAUAAGGGAGCUUGACUGCGAGACCUACAAGUCGAGCAGGUGCGAAAGCAGGCCCUAGUGACCCUGCGGCUCUGUGUGGAAGGGCCGUGGAUCAUCGGAUAAAAGUUACCCCGGGGAUAACAGGCUAGUACCGCCCGAGAGUCCACAUCGACGGCGGUGUUCGGCACCUCGAUGUCGGCUCAUCUCAUCCUGGGGCUGGAGCAGGUCCCAAGGGUCCGUCUGUUCGCCGGUUAAAGAGGUACGUGAGCUGGGUUCAGACCGUCGCAAGACAGGUCGGUCCAUAUCCACCGUGGGCGCAAGAAACUUGAGGGGCUUUCUCCUCAGUACGAGAGGACCGGGAGGACCGGACCGCUGGUGCACCAGUUGUCCCGCCAGGGGCACCGCUGGGUAGCUAAGUCCGGAAGAGAUAAGCGCUGAAGGCAUCUAAGCGCGAAGCUCACCCCAAGACGAGGUUUCUCAGACCCCUCCGAGACUAGGAGGUUGAUAGGCCGCAGGUGUAAGCACGGCAACGUGUUCAGCCGAGCGGUACUAAGGGUCGAUUGCUUGCAAUG
rnacentral:rRNA from 1 species